rnacentral:rRNA from 1 species
CGGCAAGGGGAGCGAUCCCCCCUAGAGUGGCGGACUGGUGAGUAACGCGUGGGUAAUCUACCUUGUGGUUUGGGAUAGCCGCUAGAAAUAGCGGGUAAUACCGGAUACGGUUACCGGGCUAAUGCCCGGUAAAGAAAGGGGCUAUGGCCCUGCCAUAAGAUGAGCCCGCGUCCCAUUAGGUAGUUGGUGAGGUAAUAGCCCACCAAGCCCAUGAUGGGUAGCCGGCCUGAGAGGGUGAACGGCCACAUUGGGACUGAGAUACGGCCCAAACUCCUACGGGAGGCAGCAGCUAAGAAUAUUCCGCAAUGGUCGGAAGACUGACGGAGCGACGCCGCGUGGACGAAGAAGGCCGAAAGGUUGUAAAGUUCUUUUGCCACUGAAGAAUAAGGGCAGGAGGGAAUGCCUGCUCGAUGACGUUAGGUGGUGAAUAAGCCCCGGCUAAUUACGUGCCAGCAGCCGCGGUAACACGUAAGGGGCGAGCGUUGUUCGGAAUUAUUGGGCGUAAAGGGCGCGUAGGCGGUUUUGCAAGUCUGGCGUGAAAUGGUAAGGCUCAACCUUAUCACUGCGCUGGAAACUGCGGAACUAGAGUCAUGGAGGGGAGGUUGGAAUUCCGAGUGUAGGGGUGAAAUCUGUAGAUAUUCGGAAGAACACCGGUGGCGAAGGCGAACUUCUAGCCAAUGACUGACGCUGAGGCGCGAAA